rnacentral:lncRNA from 1 species
GAGUUUGAUAUGUUCACAUGAAGUGAAUUGGUAACUGUCUACCAUUUAUUUUUAAGAGGCAUAUAUUCUUUAGACACAUAUUCACCUCAAGUGAAUUCAAGAACUUUUUCAUACUUGAUUAAGUUAAGUAGCACAUGAAAGGCUCAAAUUAUACGAAAGAUGUGCUACAAUAUAUUUGUAUGGCUCACUUGAUAGUGACAUAUGAAGCUCCCUGAAGGAUUUCGUUUGUGUAAUAGACACUAUCAAAAUUAUUGAAAAGAUGACAUCAUUUGUCCAUUUUAAAGAUAUGGAAAUGAAUUUCUUAUAAGCAAUUUUAUGAUAAUCGUAAAAAUAUUAUUAGAACACCU